GCACUCAGCACGCGCCACCCAAGAAUGGUUAUAAAAUGAGGUUCCUCGCUUCAUUUCUAGAACACAAUGGCCACAAAAAUCUCCGGAUACCAGUCCGUUGAACUAUUGUGUCUGGAGUAUUUUGGAAAGCAAGGUUAAAAAAUACCAAAGUGUCGAUCACCUCAAGCAAGCGCUUCGCCGGGAAUGGGCCAAAAUCCGCAGAGCAACAUUCGGGCAGCGUGUGACGGUUUCAUUGGCCGUUUGAAGGCCAUAAUUCGUGCCAAAGGUGACCAAUUGGAACAAAUCUAAACAUAUUUUAAAAUUUUACGAUAUUUCCGACAUUUUUGCUUUCAUUCAAUAAAAUUUAAAAAAAAGUGUAAAAAUUA